rnacentral:rRNA from 1 species
GGGUCCGUAGGCGGUUUGAUAAGUCAGUGGUGAAAGCCCAUCGCUCAACGAUGGAACGGCCAUUGAUACUGUCAGACUUGAAUUACUAGGAAGUAACUAGAAUAUGUAGUGUAGCGGUGAAAUGCUUAGAUAUUACAUGGAAUACCAAUUGCGAAGGCAGGUUACUACUAGUGGAUUGACGCUGAUGGACGAAAGCGUGGGGAGCGAACAGGAUUAGAUACCCUGGUAGUCCACGCCGUAAACGAUGGAUACUAGCUGUUGGGCGCAAGUUCAGUGGCUAAGCGAAAGUGAUAAGUAUCCCACCUGGGGAGUACGUUCGCAAGAAUGAAACUCAAAGGAAUUGACGGGGGCCCGCACAAGCGGUGGAGCAUGUGGUUUAAUUCGAUGAUACGCGAGGAACCUUACCAAGGCUUAAAUGUAGAUUGACAGGUUUGGAAACAGACUUUUCUUCGGACAAUUUACAAGGUGCUGCAUGGUUGUCGUCAGCUCGUGCCGUGAGGUGUCAGGUUAAGUCCUAUAACGAGCGCAACCCCUGUUGUUAGUUGCCAGCGAGUCAAGUCGGGAACUCUAACAAGACUGCCAGUGUAAACUGUGAGGAAGGUGGGGAUGACGUCAAAUCAUCACGGCCCUUACGCCUUGGGCUACACACGUGCUACAAUGGACGGUACAGAGAGCAGCCACUACGCAAGUAGGAGCGAAUCUAUAAAACCG